rnacentral:rRNA from 1 species
UACGUAGGGUGCAAGCGUUAAUCGGAAUUACUGGGCGUAAAGCGUGCGCAGGCGGUUUUGUAAGUCUGUCGUGAAAGCCCCGGACUCAACCUGGGAAUUGCGAUGGAGACUGCAAGGCUAGAAUCUGGCAGAGGGGGGUAGAAUUCCACGUGUAGCAGUGAAAUGCGUAGAGAUGUGGAGGAACACCGAUGGCGAAGGCAGCCCCCUGGGUCAAGAUUGACGCUCAUGCACGAAAGCGUGGGGAGCAAACAGG